rnacentral:lncRNA from 1 species
CAACCAAAAAUUAAGAAGUUUUUGGGUGAUUUUAAGCAAGCCGAAUCUGUCCCAGCUGUUCAGUCUGCAAAGAAGCCUGCUCAAGCUAAGGAAUCUGCUAAACCAAAGGCCAAGGCGGAACCAAAGAAAGAAGCACCAAAGCCCAAAGCUGAAGCUGCUGAAGAAGAGGAAGCACCUAAGCCCAAACCAAAGAACCCUCUUGAUCUGCUGCCCCCAAGUAAGAUGAUUCUGGAUGACUGGAAGAGGCUUUACUCAAACACGAAGUCCAACUUCCGUGA